rnacentral:rRNA from 1 species
GUGCCAGCAGCCGCGGUAAUACCGGCAGCUCGAGUGAUGGCCACUCUUAUUGGGCCUAAAGCGUCCGUAGCUGGCCGCGCAAGUCCGUCAGGAAAUCCAUCAGCUCAACUACUGGGCGUCCGGCGGAAACUACAAGGCUUGGGACCGGAAGGCUCGAGGGGUACGUCCGGGGUAGGAGUGAAAUCCCGUAAUCCCGCACGGACCACCGAUGGCGAAAGCGCCUCGGGAAGACGGACCCGACAGUGAGGGACGAAAGCUGGGAUCUCGAACCGGAUUAGAAACCCCAGUAGUCC